UCUAAAAAAAAAAAAAAAAAACCCUGGAAUUAUUAUCAGAACUACAUAUAUUGGAAUCCCAAUUAUGCCCUUGAUUGACUAGGAUGUGAUCUUGAACCCAGGAACUUAGCUCUUUGAGACAAGGAGUUGGAGACUAGCCUGGUCAUCAUAGUCACAUCCCAUCUCUACAAAAAAUAACAAAAAUUAGCUGGGCAGGGUGGCACACACUUGUGGUCCUAGCUACUUGGAAGGCUGAUGCAGGAGGAUUGCUUGAGCUAAGUUUUCUUGGAGCUAAGUUUUCUGAUCUGUAGUAAAGCCUAAUGCCUCCCUCUCCAGGAUUUUGAGAAUUAAAUGAGAUGAUAUAAGCAAAGCUCCUGUUAAUUAACAAAUCUUGAUUUGAAUUGAAAUCUGCUUCAGGUUUGUCUGUAUGUAAAGCUAAACGCUGUACUGGCUGUUUACAUGCACACUUUUUUCAGGUUUAUUUUUUGUUAACCUAGAAAAUCAACCAAAGAUUGUAUCCUCAAAUUGUCUCUAAACCAUUGUUAUACACAUUGCUAAUUACACAAGCAACAUCCAACAUUCACUUCCUCUCCUGAUCACUUUUUCCAGUAUUAUGCCCACAGUAAAUAGGCCAUUGACAAGUUAACCUGACUCUAUCACAACAAUCUUGGUAAUUUCUUUAAUGUCACUUGCAGCUAGAGGUGGGCACGUAUUAAUACACAAGGGAAAACUCUGUUACAGUACUCCUGGGAAAGAUUUUGCCCACUGAUAAAAGAAAAAGCUCUUUUUAUGUGGCCCUCACAUUCUGCCUUGAAUGCAUUUGGAAAAGGCUAAGCUGCCUGGAUCUGUGGCAGCCACACUGCAAGCAAGAGGCAAUACUGAGAAAGGUGGAACAAAGUAUUGGAAAGUCCUUAAAAACAUCACAGAGCCGCUGCACUACCAGUAGAACCAUUUCUCUAGACUCUCUGGAUGGAAAGAUUAUUAAGUAUCUUUAUUGUUCGAGCCACCGUUAACCAGAUAUUCUGUCACUUUCAGCUGGUAUGACUAUACAUCUCUAAGACUCCUGUUUGCUUAAUCUAGCUCUCUGACUUCUUAUUCCUGCUGGCUAGAUGAUGCCAGAAAUAUAGAUCUAGACAUAGAUACGGAUAUGGGUACAAAUAUAGAUAUAGGUAUACAUAUCUGCUGUGUAUAUAUUUGCACAGGGAUUCUACACAACCAGCAAAAGGAAAUAAGAGGAAUUAAGAUAUAGGAGGAUGUUUCCAGAGUCGGGUGAGAGAUUACAUUUACAUAAAUAUUCCUUCAGCUUCCUAGGUGAGUAAGAAUCAUAUUAAUAAUAAAAAUGAAACCUACCGGUUAUUGCACUUUCUCUCUUGCCAUACUUGUUACUAAGCAUUAUCUGCAUUAUUUCACAUAACCCUCAAAUUAGUCCUCAGAGGUAGACAUUUUUAUCUCCAUUUUACAGAUGAAAACCCUGAGCUUUACAAAAUCAAAGCUGUCCAACUUAUCCUACUAAAUUCAUAUAUACUAUUUCACCCUCUAACCUUCUUCAUGUUAGCCUCACGAAUCCUUUCCCAUCCUGCAGGUCUGAACUGAAACCUCACUUUCUUGGAAAAGCCUUUCAUGACCCCAGGCUAGAUUGGAUUAUUGGAGAUAAACACGCUGUUAGCAUCGUGUACAUCUUCCUCACUGUCUUUCACACAUUUGCAAUCAUUUAAUUGCCUGUAGUUAUUACCUUCUUUUCCCCCUCCGUAUGUUUCUUGGGAGGAGUGUCCAUGUCUAUCCUGUUCGUCAUCGUAGCCGCGGGGUUUGGCCCUCUGCUGAACUUAUAAAACAAGUCGUUCACAAUGUUUUUGUGUCUUUGGUACUGUUUAGAAUUUUAGAACUUUUCACAGCACUUAAAAAGGAAAAUAAAAGAUUCAAAGACUCUUGAGAAUGUCUGAUCACAUCCAUAAAGCAUUCUGCGUCAUCCCUGUAGUUGCUUGUGUAACCUUCCAUCUGUGUACUUAGCUGUUCCAGGAAGCUUCCAUUGCUCCAUUUACGGAUUCACCAAGCAAAGUUCCACUUUCAGCCUGACACAUUAGUCCAAAGGUGGAGUAAUUGUGCCCAGCACACCUUGCACCACAUGAGCCAUUCAGCUCAGUACUACACCCUGUAGGGAUCACUGUAACAGUAUUGCGAUUAAGGCUGCUAAUUGUCAUCCAGUCACUAGUCUUCCAUUUUUCUUUUUAAUAACAGAGCCCUGCCCCCGAGCCCCUGAGCUUUAGCUAGCAAGUAGCCAUCCAACUGAAAGCUGCAUUUCUCAGACUUACUUGCAUCUUGUUUUGUCCAUGUGCACCUUCUUGCCAAUGCAAUGGAAGCAAAAUGUGAUGUGUGUAAUUCCCUUUUUACUUCCUUGCUCUCCAUGACUUUGAUUUCCUCCUUCCUGUGGAACAUGUGUAACACAGGCAUGAAUCUUGUGGGCCAAGUUUGGCCAUGUAUCCAAGAAAGCUCAACUUUAGGGAAUUGCUGAGUUGCAAGAGUUCACUGCAGAAGCAGCUAGGGUUCUACAACCACUUGUAGCAGAGUCGACUACUGCCCCAGGCCUCCCACACACUUUGGACUAUUCUAUGACUGAUACUAACUUGUAUCUCGUCAUUAUGUUUUUGUUUUCUUUUUCUUAGCAAAGCUUAGACCAAACACCAACAAAUACGGAUAUGUAUAUGCGGUUAUAAAGAAGAGAAAGUUUACAAAUCAAAAAAACCUGAUGGUACUUCCUGAGAGUUUACAGUGUAUCAGUGUGCCAUAUGUCAUGGCCCAGGGGUCUAGAGCCAGUACUUUGCAUUACCUAAUAUGGUAGAAUAUGUUGAUCUUAUCAGCUAUCCUUUGGAACUAUAACCUUCAAGUGACAUGCGCACAGCUACUCCUAACCCUCCAAGGUAGCUGGAUGAGAAAGCAACACACUUGAGCAAAGAGAGAGUUGAGGCACCCCCUCUAGCAUUGGGCUGUCUAAACGCUGGUGAGAAUGGGUUGAUUUGACUGUCAAUUCUGCAGUGAUGUUCAUUUUGUCCUGUGUCUGGAUUUUCUGAUAGAUUCUGCCAACUCCUGGGGAAAGGUGGCAGCACUCACUGAAAAAAUUGUAAAAUAAAUCUGUUGUAAAGUAACAAAGAGACAAGGUCCCUGAUUGUUCUACCUAUUAGUAAGGUUGUAUUUUGCUUGGUAUUUUUCUCUGCCAAAAUGGUGAUGGCCACAUGGGUGACCAACUGCAUGAAGAUGACAGUAAUGAUGGAGAUGAUCUCAGGAGACCGUGACUAGCCUUAGAUUCAACCAUGUCCUCAGCAGAGACCAGGAGCAAAUAGACAGAAAAUGGGAGAGCAAAGUAGAUAAUACAGAGAACAAUUGUGGCCUCUGGAAAUGAAACAGGGAAGAACAGAACUAACCUGUAAUGGACAAAGGAUUCCAAUCAUUAUGGUUAAGGAUUCUGAACUUGGCUAGGCCUCUGCCUGAAUCAGGGAAGUGCUUGAAUUAGGGUUGAGAAGCCCAGCCCGGUUGCUUAUGAG
rnacentral:lncRNA from 1 species